UACGGGGGGGCAAGCGUUGUUCGGAAUUACUGGGCGUAAGGGCUCGUAGGUGGCCAACUAAGUCAGACGUGAAUCCCCAGGCUCAACUUGGGAACUGCGUCUGAUACUGGAUGGCUUGAAUUCGGGAGAGGGAGCAGAAUUCCAGGUGUGAGCGGUGAAAUGACGUAGAUAUCUGGAGGAAUACCGGUGGCGAAGGCGGCAUCCUGGACCGAGAUUGACACUGAUGAGCGAAAGCUAGGGAGCGAAACGGGAGUUAGAA
rnacentral:rRNA from 1 species